rnacentral:tRNA from 1 species
AUAGAGAGGGCUUAAUGGUUAAAAGCACUGACUGCUCUUUCCAGAGGACCUGGGUUCAAUUCCCAGUNCCCACA